UUCCGCGACACGGGGUGCCCGGGCAAUCGCCUUAAAUACGCUGAAACGACAUGUUGCAUCGUGCAAGCUGGCUGCUGGGCUGAGAUCACACUCGUCGAACCUGAUUUAGCUCGUACUAACGAAGGGAAUGUCGUGUUCGACCAUG
rnacentral:ncRNA from 1 species